GACGAACCGUGCGAACGUUAUUCGGAAUCACUGGGCUUAAAGCGCGUGUAGGCGGGUCGGCACGUCGGUCGCUGAAAUCCCCCGGCUCAACCGGGGAAGGGGCGCCGAUACGACCGGCCUGGAGGGACGUAGGGGGGGCUGGAACUUCCGGUGGAGCGGUGAAAUGCGUUGAGAUCGGAAGGAACGCCCGUGGCGAAAGCGAGCCCCUGGACGUCUACUGACGCUGAGACGCGAAAGCCAGGGGAGCGAACGGG
rnacentral:rRNA from 1 species